ensembl:lncRNA
AUGCCCCGGGUUAACCUCCGAAGUAUCGCCUUUUCUCCUCGGUUCCUCCUCAAACUUGUCGGCCCAGGCCUUAGGCUGGGGCUCCUGACAAGUCUUUCCUCCCUCACCUGCAUGGAAGCAUCAAGCGGAAACAAUUCAGUGAGGGAAGCGCCGAGCUGUAAAGCUGUGGGGUGUGGGCAAGGACAGUCCCUUCAGCCUCGGGGUCGGGGGGUGGGGGUGCUGGGAGACUUUGCAGGACUCAUUCCCAUCUUGCUCCUCCCAUCCCCCCACCUCCUCGCUCACUGAAAUCCCCUGAGUGCCUGUUAUUUAAGAGAUGUUGUCCCGGGUGUUAUGGGGAGUUGGCUCCAGAUUUCUGUGACCCUCGGUUCUGGACUACUUUUUAAAACAAGUAAAUCUUAUCUUCUCCCAUUUCCUGAUGCAUUUGUUUCCUCACCAUCCAGGAACCCAGUUCCCUUCACUGCCUCCAGGUUGUCCAAAGUCCCUUAUCAUUCCACCUACCUGGCCUCUCUCUCCAAGAAGUUCCCCAGAUCUCAGCAUUUCCUCCAGCUCAUGUCUGCCUGUUCGCAAACCCAAACUGCUGUUUUCUCAGACAGAGGCACGUGGAUUAGAUGAAUUCUCUUUAUUUUCCCUCUGUUGUGGGUUGAAUGUGUCCCCCUAUAAGGUAUGUUGAAGUCUGAACUCCUGGCACCUAUGAAUGUGACCUUAUUUGGAAAUGCGGUCUUUGUAGAUACAAUCAAGUUAAGAUGACCUCAUACAGAAUCAGGGUAAAACCUAAUUCAGUGUCUUUAUAAGAAGAGGAAUGUUUGGACACUCAGAGAGACACAGGGAGAGGAUACCAUGAAGAGGCUGAGAUUGAUGUGUUCACAAACCAAGGAAUAAGAAUUGCCAGCAACCACCAAAAGCUAGGAGGAGGCAAGGAAGAAUCCUCCUAGAAUGCUCAGGGAGAGCAUGGCCCUGCGUACACCUUGAUUUAGGACUUCCUCAAAGUCCUAAAUUAGGACCAGUCCUGAUUUAAGACUUGCCUUUAGAAUGAAAUUAGACAGAAGAUGAGAUGGUUGGAUGGCAUCACCGACUCAAUGGACAUAAAUUUAAGCAAACUCCUGGAGAUGGUGAAGGGCAGGGAAGUCUGGCGUGCUGCAAUCCCUGGUGUCGCAGAGAGUCAAUGACCAAGCAACUGAACAGCAACAACUAGAAUUAAGUCACCCAGUUUAGUGUUUUGUUGUGGCAGCCCUAGGAAACCAAUACAUCCUGCUGAAUGUGUUUACUUGUGGGGACAAAGGCAUCU